rnacentral:tRNA from 1 species
AACGAUGUGGUUUAUGUUUAGAACGUUCCCUCUGCAAGGGAUUGGUGAAGGUUUCCAUUGUUG